AGGAAAAUUUUAGGUGUGAGAGCUGGUGCUUUGGAGUUUGGAAAAUUCUAGCAAAAAUCAGGAAUUGUGCACUUGAAUUGGUAGCAAAUUAGUGUUCCACUAUUUUAAGGAGCAUGUAUGAUGACAUUUAAUUACUUUAAACCCGAUGUUAAGUGAUUUUGAUGGUAGGAAUCUUUCCAUGACUUGGGUUGAUAUUUGAUUUAAAUGAUUAUUUAGCAUAAAUUUAUUUAUUUGCAUAUAAGGCACAAAUCUUCCUUUUGACUAAAUUUUUUGUAUAUACUCUUAUGUUUCUAAAUCUUCAAAUCUUCUACCUUUAGCUUGUUUUCAGUCUACACCCUAUUCACGCGGUCGAUGAUCACUGAGUCUGUGAGACUCACCCCACUUUAUUUUCUUUUCCAGAUAAGUAAUCAAUUUUAAGAUUUUGUUCAACAUCAUGAAGUUGGCUACAAUCUAGGUAAUGGCAUCUCUAGACUUCCACUUAGAGUUGCUCCACUGCCUAGAGGUCGGUUUAUGUAUCAUAUAGUGUAGUUUGUAAGAAUCAAUAGUCACUGAAAAUGUGAUGACUAAAGUUUAAGGUCAUGUAAUAAUGUUUAUAUAUUAUAAUGAGUUGUAUAAAGUGAUCAAAUCUAGAUGUUUGUAACAAAUGGUUAUGUUUUAAUUAAUGUGAUUAUUUGGUUUGAAUGA